GGAUCGGGAGGCCACCAUUGGGCAGGUGGCCAGGCAUUGAUCCGAACCCCCUGUUUCGAAAGGGCGUGGCACCGGGAGGCCCCGACGGUGCCUGCG
rnacentral:ncRNA from 1 species